UACGGAGGGGGCGAGUGUUGUUCGGAAUUACUGGGCGUAAAGGGCGCGCAGGCGGCGCGGCCAGUCGAGUGUGAAAGCCCUUGGCUUAACUAAGGAAUGGCGCUCGAAACUACCGCGCUAGAGGACGGGAGAGGGAAGUGGAACUCUCGGUGUAGGGGUGAAAUCUGUAGAGAUCGAGAGGAACACCGGUGGCGAAGGCGGCUUCCUGGCCCGUCGCUGACGCUGAGGCGCGAAAGCGUGGGGAGCAAACAGG
rnacentral:rRNA from 1 species